UGAACUCCUGAUGGACUGUUUGCCUUUCAGCACGUCCUCCUCUGGAGCUGCACAAAACAAAACAUCACAUUCCUUCAAGCGUAACCACGCAAAACUUUAAACGACUGUCAGUUUACGUGUACUCAGAACUCCAGAAAUGUUUGUCCUUGGGAGUAACACCGAAGAGGAGGCCCAGAUUUUUGCAGCACCUCAAGAAGGUAUCGGCCGCCAUCGUACAGUUGUUACCGGAAAAAUCUUUUCCGUAUUAGAGAUCCUAUUAGAAGGAGAACACUAAAAGAUAAUUGGAUUUCCAGCGGUUAUCUCUGUGUCCGUCAGGACCCUGCUGUCCCUGUAAUCUCACUCUCAAGGGGUAAAGAUAACUCAAUCCCAGAGAGGAUGGAUGAGUGUGUAUGUGUGUGUGUGAGACACAGAGACAGGAGGGGAGCGGGGGAGUGUAUUAAGGCAUAUGUUAUCCAUCUAAGUAAUAAAAAUGUGUCUAAAUCACUGGUAUCCACCAUCAUCUCUUCUGGUGGAUUUGAACCCUGACAGAGAACAAACAUAAAUUUAUUUUUAUUUCCUAAAUAAUUCACAGACUACAGAAUGCACUUGAACAAAGGCUGUCUUCAAUGCUGCCACCUUUCUCCUAAGACCCAUUCCUCAAAUGAACAAUACACUAUACGUAGAGGUCCAUGAUUCACAUACAAGCAUGAUGUUAUUGAAUAAUGUUCAAUAAAAUUGACUGUUUUCA